UAUGAACGAAAUCAGCAAGGGGGGAAGCCAUAGUUAGGGUUUUCAAGCUUCCAAGCUCCAUAAUCAAGAAGUACGAAACUCGAGGUUAGACAAAGGGAAGAAUAAAGUUGAAGACUAAGUUGGUGAAUUUGGCUAUAAUUGGUACCGAGUAUUACAAGGCUACUUCAAGGAUCCUAAAGAAGUCGGAGAUCGUCCACACUAUCAACCACAACUGCUCGAUUGUCAGUUUGCAGAACGUGUUGAUCGAAUCAACUUGAAGACCACACUAACCUACUCUGACUCGGUAGACUUUUGAUCAUUUUAAGUCAGUUAUGUGGC